rnacentral:lncRNA from 1 species
GCUCUGCCGGAAAACUGCAGCCUGGGCUCCUGAUUGGACUCACCGAGCCCUAAACAAACAGCGCUCGCCGAAGGGUGCCAGGCUGUGGGUCGGAACUGCGCUCAGCGAGCAGCUGGGCGCUGGAGAAAGGAUUUCUUCCGACAGACGUGACCCCAGAAGGCUGCCGAGGGAGACUUUAGGACAAGAGGCGUUGUUUUUUUAGGGAAGGAAGAGGAGCCUGUGCAGAGUUGAACUGGGGUGGAGAGGUGCCUUGUAAAGUAUGGUUUCCAGAGAUGGUGAGACCUCGUAGCUAAGCGUUGUUUCCUCUGCACGUAACUGUGAGUUGUGAACUUGUGGCUCCUGGGGGAGCGGGACAGGGCCUGGCAGUGCGGGGGAGGGGGCAAGGAAUUCAGGAAGUUGGCGAGAAUUCUUCGUUUUUCAUUCUUCGUUGUAAAUUGCUUCUAAACACUUCUGAAUUUUAAAUUGCUACCGAGAAGGUCCAGAAACCGUUCUCAUCCAAUUUAGUCACUUUUAUUACGUUCCACUUUGCCUCCCCCAAUCACUGCGGCGGCUCCCAGUUUCAGCGUGGCCGCAUUUGGAAAAGGCUGAAGGUAGAAAACUCUGGAAUGGAGAGGCUGGCGACUGGAGCAGGAUCCAGGGGCUUUAAAUUUUAACCUGAAUGCGAUCGAAUGCGCGACUCCCAGAAGAGAUAGCCAGGCGUCCGCCCGGCCGCUCAACCCCCGCCAGGACUCGGAAUGCCUUGCUUUUGGUUCUUUUCGUGAGUUCCGACCAAAUGUUUAAGUGGACUGGGUUUUGCAGAAGCUCAUUUGUAAGCACUGACGGAAAUGGGUUGUGGGCAUUUGAUUUCCUUUGAUUCCAACGUUUUGAAAUAAUGUUUCUCGGAUUUGCUAUUCGAAGCAAUUUUCUAAAAACUCAUAUCUUAUUUGCUAAAAAUAAACUCUUUGGCUCAGUUUGUGUCCAGGCUGUGU